rnacentral:rRNA from 1 species
UACGUAGGGUGCAAGCGUUGUCCGGAAUUAUUGGGCGUAAAGAGCUCGUAGGCGGCUUGUCACGUCGACUGUGAAAACCCGGGGCUCAACUCCGGGCCUGCAGUCGAUACGGGCUGGCUUGAGUGCGGUAGGGGAGACUGGAAUUCCUGGUGUAGCGGUGAAAUGCGCAGAUAUCAGGAGGAACACCGGUGGCGAAGGCGGCUAUCUGGACAGAAACUGACGCUGAGGCGCGAAAGCUAGGGGAGCAAACAGG